rnacentral:tRNA from 1 species
ACUUAAAUAAUUUAAUAAAAAUAUUGAUUUGUGGAAUCAAAAAUAUACUAAUAUAUUUUAAGUA